UGGCAGGGUAAUGGCGUGUAAAGAAGUGACACAGCCAGGAUGUUCUGGGUGCUUACAGGGAGAAGAGGGAAACAAAACCAGUGUCGGAAACCAGCAGAAGUUGACUGCUGCGGAUCCUUCCUUAGCACAGCCUCAGGAAAAGCAUUCGGCUGCCCCGUGCCCCCCUCCUGGCACCAAGGCUCAGACACUUCAGCCUGAUGAGUCAACAGCAAUGACAAGAGGGCACGGCGAGCGGGAGCAGAAGGGGUUUGCAGUCCCACCAGCACGGAAGGCAGCAAGGUCCCCAAGCAGGAACCCCCCACGAGCAGGGCUGGUGCUCCCAGUAGCCGUCCACCAAAACACGCGCGCUGCCAGCGCGGACGGCGGUCAUUAAAAUCUGUGUGUAGUUUGUGAGGCUGUUCCAAUAAAUGACCCGGCGAAUUCA